CUGCUGUUGAGGAGUCCCAUACUAAGACGAAACGGCCGUCCAGUAC
rnacentral:hammerhead_ribozyme from 1 species